GUAGGGAAUCUUGCGCAAUGGGCGAAAGCCUGACGCAGCCAUGCCGCGUGAAUGAUGAAGGUCUUAGGAUUGUAAAAUUCUUUCACCGGGGACGAUAAUGACGGUACCCGGAGAAGAAGCUCCGGCUAACUUCGUGCCAGCAGCCGCGGUAAUACGAAGGGGGCUAGCGUUGCUCGGAAUUACUGGGCGUAAAGGGCGCGUAGGCGGAUAUUUAAGUCGGGGGUGAAAGCCCGGGGCUCAACCUCGGAAUAGCCUUCGAUACUGGAUAUCUUGAGGACGGGAGAGGUGUGUGGAACUCCGAGUGUAGAGGUGAAAUUCGUAGAUAUUCGGAAGAACACCAGUGGCGAAGGCGACACACUGGCCCGUUACUGACGCUGAGGCGCGAAAGCGUGGGGAGCAAACAGGAUUAGAUACCCGAGUAGUCC
rnacentral:rRNA from 1 species